UACGUAGGGUGCAAGCGUUACUCGGAAUUACUGGGCGUAAAGCGUGCGCAGGCGGCUUUGCAAGACAGAUGUGAAAUCCCCGGGCUUAACCUGGGAACUGCAUUUGUGACUGCAUGGCUAGAGUGCGGCAGAGGGGGAUGGAAUUCCGCGUGUAGCAGUGAAAUGCGUAGAUAUGCGGAGGAACACCGAUGGCGAAGGCAAUCCCCCGGGCCUGCACUGACGCUCAUGCACGAAAGCGUGGGGAGCAAACAGG
rnacentral:rRNA from 1 species